rnacentral:rRNA from 1 species
GUGAAAUUGUUGAAAGGGAAACGAUUGAAGCCAGUCGUACUCACGGGUAAUCAACCUUUCUGGCGCGAUUAUGUGGGCGUGUUGGAGCCUAAUCAGCCCUCGCGUUUUUAUAUUCGUUCCUUUUUGGGUGUACUUGCCCGUGCGGUAGGUUAACAUCAAUUUCGGACGUCAUAAAAUGACGGGAGGAAUGUAGCUUUGGUCUCGUACUGAAGUGUUAUAGCCUCUGGUAGAUGUGACGUUUGGGAUUGAGGAUUGCAACGGAUACCUCUUGGGGCUACCUGUCUGGCCUCUGAUGAUUGCUAUGGUGCCGAAAGCUUGCUUACGGUCAUCAAAGUUGAUUGUCAAAAGGUUAGAACGGGUUAAAUUCGUUAAGGAUGUUGACGUAAUGGCUUUAAACGAC